GGUAUUACUUGCUGACACUUCUUUGCACUUAACCUCCCGGAUCCAAGCGGUAGCCAGAGCCUCUGCAUCCUUCCAGCGUGUGUCCUCCUGGGACUGCAUCAGUCAACAUAACUGCUGCAAUGUCCUGGGCCUGAAAAACCCAGCGAAAGAGGGAAGGAGAAAAAGGCCAUGUCUGACAGAGCAGCUCCCUGGGGAAGGAGUGUUGUGUCUGAAUGCCACCCUGAGUGAAAAGUCGCUCUUUUAUCAGAAAUGAUACUGUUGCUGUGAAGGACGUUGACUGGAUAAACAAAUCCUUCUCCCAGGAUUAAUAACACCACCUGUUUUCCUUGUGCCCUGCAGGUUUCAGUGAGGACAACACAGCCCUGACCCCAUGGAGCUGCUUCUUGGGAUUCAGCACAAAAGUGACAUCUGCAACCGGUUCUGCCCAUAACUAGAGGAACAGAGGAAAAAUCUUUUACUCAUCUUUACAAAGCCCCAAAAGUUCUGCUAUGUAAUGUCCAGGGUGGAAAAGCUUUCUAGUGCUAGUAAGGCUGGAGACGCUUACACAACGUGUCUGGUGCAUGGUGCUGUAGCAGCCCUGGGGCUUGUUAUGUGCCCAUAUGGGAGCCUGUGUACAGUACAGAUCUGGUGACUCCAUAGGAAAUGCUUUCUUGACGUCACGCUAAUUCCCUGACCUUCCCCUCCACCCUCCGCUAGUAUACACAGUUGCUGGCUAUUUAUAUAUGAUGAAUAUGAUUCAGAAUUACACAUGCCAGAAAGACACCAAAUCUUUCAACCUAUUAAUUAAAAAAAGGGAUAUAGCAUGAUUGCUUUGUUCCGUCACCACAUGAAAGAGAACUAUUUAUUUUUGUUGUGGUUAGCUUAGUAGUAACAAACAAAAUAUUUUAUUCCUAUCCAUGAGAAGCAAUCUUGCCCAUCUUUAUGGGCUUCAUCCAAAGUGUGCUGGAGUCAGUAGCAGUAUGCAUGGGCUUGGAAUUAGCAUGUGGCUGCAGAUCUAGAGAGCUGGAUCAGAGCAAGAGUGCUGCCAGACUCCAGGGCUAAGCAUUGUACAAGACUUUGACAUGCUGAGAGGGAAUAAUGCCUAUCUUUAAGUGGGGUCCGUGCAGUGCUUUGGGUCUUAGAAGGCCAACCCUCUGGUACUGCAGCUGAAGCACUCUGUCAGGAGGCUGUUGCUGUGGCUGGACGUGUGGAGCAAGGAACAUUGUGAGAUUUUUGUGGUGUCAUUAGAUUACUGCUCAUGUGAAAUUGAGUGAUGGAUAGUUUACAUAGUCAGCCUUUUAGCAAAGUUCACCGGCAUGGCUCCAACUGUAUGUAUCGAGGCUAAUCUCAAUUACAACUUGAAAAUGCCUCUGUCUUUGUCACCACAGGGAUGGUCUGGAAAGUAUCGACUGAUUGCUACAGCUGAAAGCUUGUCAUGUCAAUCUUUAUCCCACCAAAGAUCACAGUGCACUCAGUGUACCGUGCAACUGUUCCACCCUGAUGGCUCUUUCAUUUUUUCCUGGUUUUGCUGUUUGUCUAGGCCUUUCAUACGAUAGUAAUCAAGGAAAAAAAAAUGUAUUAAAAAAGAAAUAUGAGGCUUGGAUUGUUUUAAACUGAGAUAAUAAUGAGGGAAUUUGGGAACAGUUGUACUGGCAUUCCUUUAAAAUCUUCCCACCUUCAACUUGGCUGGAAUUCAGGUAGAUGAUGAUAGUAGAAAUCAAUACACAGAGGAAAAGUUUGUCAGAUCCAGUCAAGGAAGAUUCAGAGAAAUGGCCAAGGAUUCUCAAUGCAAAGAAGAAGAAGAAAUCAGCAAGGCCGCUGAGGUGGGGAGAGGGCCAGUGGAGACAUGUAAUGAAUGUCGAUAACUGCAUUUAAUUUCUUUGGCAAGUGAAGUCCUUCUUAAGAUCUUUUUGUUCAAGGAACCUAUCUGUUGGAAAGGAAAUGAAGUAGAAACCAAGAUGAAGAUAAAAUUCCAGGAAUACACUUGCACAGACCUACCUGAAAAUGUUUCUUACCAGGAGCAGAUGUUCUGAGUCUCUGAGGGCAAUACCUCUGCACCAGUUCUGAGAUACACUUGCCUUCAGCUGUAUGAACAGUGGUUAGCAGGGGGCUGCAGAAGAAUUAUUUGUGCUGAGACUUUUUUAAGAAAAGCUAUUACAAAGAUUACACAACCUGCUUCUUUUCCUACUUUUCAGUUGUUUGAUCACUAGCUCAGUGUGGACUUAAUGUUUUGAAGAAACAAUUCCAUUC